AUACGGAGGAUGCGAGCGUUAUCCGGAUUUAUUGGGUUUAAAGGGUGCGCAGGCGGCAGUGCAAGUCAGCGGUAAAAUUUCGGCGCUCAACGCCGUUGCGCCGUUGAAACUGCACGGCUCGAGUGCGUGGGAGGAUCGCGGAAUGCGCGGUGUAGCGGUGAAAUGCAUAGAUAUCGCGCAGAACCCCGAUUGCGAAGGCAGCGGUCCAUCACGCCACUGACGCUCAUGCACGAAAGCGUGGGUAUCGAACAGGAUUAGAUACCCUGGUAGUCCACGCGGUAAACGAUGAUAACUAGUUAUUCGGCUAAAUUGGUAGCUGAGUGACCGAGCGAAAGCGUUAAGUUAUCCACCUGGGGAGUACGCCGGCAACGGUGAAACUCAAAUGAAUUGACGGGG
rnacentral:rRNA from 1 species